rnacentral:rRNA from 1 species
CGGGGGAGCAAGCGUUGUUCGGAUUUACUGGGCGUAAAGGGCGCGUAGGCGGUCAGCACAAGUCAGUUGUGAAAUCUCCGGGCUUAACUCGGAAAGGUCAACUGAUACUGUGCGACUAGAGUGCAGAAGGGGCAACUGGAAUUCUCGGUGUAGCGGUGAAAUGCGUAGAUAUCGAGAGGAACACCUGCGGCGAAGGCGGGUUGCUGGGCUGACACUGACGCUGAUGCGCGAAAGCCAGGGGAGCGAACGGGAUUAGAUACCCCCGGUAGUCCUGGCCUUAAACGAUGGAUGCUUGGUGUCUGGAGUUUUAUAGUCUCCGGGUGCCGUAGCUAACGCGUUAAGCAUCCCGCCUGGGGAGUACGGUCGCAAGACUG